rnacentral:rRNA from 1 species
AUUGAACGCUGGCGGCAGGCCUAACACAUGCAAGUCGAGCGGUAGCACAGAGAGCUUGCUCUCGGGUGACGAGCGGCGGACGGGUGAGUAAUGUCUGGGAAACUGCCUGAUGGAGGGGGAUAACUACUGGAAACGGUAGCUAAUACCGCAUAAUGUCGCAAGACCAAAGAGGGGGACCUUCGGGCCUCUUGCCAUCAGAUGUGCCCAGAUGGGAUUAGCUAGUAGGUGGGGUAAUGGCUCACCUAGGCGACGAUCCCUAGCUGGUCUGAGAGGAUGACCAGCCACACUGGAACUGAGAAACGGUCCAGACUCCUACGGGAGGCAGCAGUGGGGAAUAUUGCACAAUGGGCGCAAGCCUGAUGCAGCCAUGCCGCGUGUGUGAAGAAGGCCUUCGGGUUGUAAAGCACUUUCAGUGAGGAGGAAGGCAUUAAGGUUAAUAACCUUGGUGAUUGACGUUACUCGCAGAAGAAGCACCGGCUAACUCCGUGCCAGCAGCCGCGGUAACAC